rnacentral:lncRNA from 1 species
GUCAGGGUGAUAUUAGUCGGUUAGAGUUGAGUGGUCCUCCUAGGGUUGAGUGGUCCCGACUGGGUUAUAGUAUUUAAUCCAUUGGUUAGAAAUAAUGAAAAAAGUUGAUCCAAAGGCUAAAAAACUAGUAGCAACAAUGAGAUUUUGCUACUAAUAGUAACCCAGUCCAACUCUCUCUCUCUCUCUCUAUAUAUAUAUAUAUAAUUGAGCUUCUGUACUUUUAAAAAUAUCAAGUUAUUGGUACUUGUAAAAUUUUGGACUUUGGAUUACAGGAUGUGCAAUUAGGAUGAUACGGGACCCAUAGGGUUGAGUGGUCUAAUGGUAGAAAAUUUAUAAGCACUAAGUGAUUGGUGCUUUUACAAGCAUCAUA